UUUCUCACCCAAGGGAAGAGGGUAGCAAGGCUGGCCUGGGCAAACUGAAAGGAAGAGGCUCGGACAGUGAUCAGCAGCCUCCUCUGUGCCAGGGAGAAGACGAGUUGGUUUAAUAUAAAACAUUAUCAAAGUUGAGCUGCACUAGAAAGAAGCACAUGAAAUAGAAGAAAGUGCCCAGGAAAGAGGCUUGUGGACCAGCUGGGGAAUGGGAUCGUGUGUGCCACCCCUGCCUUUCUGAGAACCUUCUCAUAAUGGCCCAGCGACCCAGCAGACUCUCAUCCCAGCCUGUUUGGAUGAGCCCACUGGAAGACCAGAGAAUCGGAGGUGAGAAAACAGAUGGGAAAGGUGAAGCAGCCGGUCCAAGGGCACACAGCUGAAAAACUGGAGUUCGAACUGGGCCCCACAGCAGGUGCCUAGUUCUGAAAGCAUCAUUGGAGUCCAUGCCCUGGGGACCAUAUUGAAAUGAGAUCUCCCUGGCAAUUACCCUCUUUGGAUGAGGACCAAAGUGGACCCACGACAAAAUGAACUCUGGGAUGGAGCAGAGUAUGUGAAUAAAACCGUGAGAGGCAUGACUGGAGUGAUUCCUUCAUACAACCUGAAGGGAAC